rnacentral:rRNA from 1 species
GACCUCAACUCAGGCAAGACUACCCGCUGAACUUAAGCAUAUCAGUAAGCGGAGGAAAAGAAAACAACUGUGAUUCCCUUAGUAACUGCGAGUGAAGCGGGAAAAGCCCAUCGUUGAAUCUCCCCGGCCCAUGGUCGGGGCGAGUUGUGACGGUAUGGAUUGGUAUUCUAGCAUGAAGCUCCGGCUAAAGUCUUCCGGAUUGAGGCGCCAGAGAGGGUGGAAGCCCCGUGUGUGGCCGGAGGGACAUGUGCAUGUUGCCAAUUCCUAGAGUCGGGUUGUUUGGGAUUGCAACCUAAAGCAGGUGGUAAACUCCACCUAAGGCUAAAUAUAGACACGAAACCGAUAGCGAACAAGUACCGUGAGGGAAAGUUGAAAAGAACCCUGAAAAGAGAGUUAAAAGUACGUGAAACCGCUAACGGGGAAGCGGAAGGCAGUGUCGAGACUGGGUGUGGUGGGCCUUUAAUUGAGGGGGUCAGCUGCGCUCGGUGCGUCAGGCCUGUCGGCGGUCGCGGUGAAAUUGAGCACGGCGGCAACAACAUCUUAGGAAGUUGAUGUCGCGGCUGGAGGAAUCCGUGUGUGCUGGCAAGUGAAUAAUCGUGUAGAGAGCUGCAUGCACUGCGUCGUGUCCAAAGCUUGGGCGCGGCGUAGGAGUGUGUUGUUCCCGAUCGCGGUGAUCCUGACGAGAUACCCAACCUUCCGACUCGUCUUGAAACACGGACCAAGGAGGCAGAAACUGGAGCGAGUUAAAGGGUGGAAAACCCGAGGGCGUAGUGAAAGCAAGAGGUGGGAUCCGCUUGUCUCGACGAGUGGCGCACCACCGGCCGGUCUGUAGAGAUCGAGUUUGAGCUCCAGUUGCUGGACCCGAAAGAUGGUGAACUAUGCGUGAGCAGGGUGAAGCCAGAGGAAACUCUGGUGGAAGCUCGAAGCGAUUCUGACGUGCAAAUCGAUCGUUUGACUUGCGUGUGGGGGCGAAAGACUAAUCGAACCAUCUAGUAGCUGGUUCCCUUCGAAAUAUCCCUCAGGAUCGCUGAGACAGGUGGGAGACAGUUUCAUCGGGUAGAGCGAAUGAUUAGAGGAAUCGGGGACAUAUUACUCUCGACCUAUUCUCAAACUACCAACCGGUGAGAUUGCCGUUUGCUUAUUAUUUGAAACGGCACGUGGAAUGUCUCUGUCUCAAGUGGGCCAUUUUUGGUAAGCAGAACUGGCGAUGCGGGAUGAACCGAGAGCCGAGUUAAGGUGCCUAAGAGCACGUCGAUAGAUACCACAAAAGGAGUCGGUUGAUGAAGACAGCAGGACGGUGGCCCUGAAAGUAGGCAUCCGCUAAGGAGUGUCUAAUAACUCACCUGCCGAAUCAACCGGCCCUGAAAAUGGAUGGCGCUGAAGCGUGCCACCGAUACUCGGCCUUUACCUCGAGAAAUGGAGGUAGGGGGUAGAAGGGCGCGACGGUAGCGAUAAAGUGCAAAGCGUGAGCUUGCAUGGAGCUGCCGCCGGUGUAGAUCUUGGUGGUAGUAGCAACUAUAAAAGUGAGUAAAAACCUUUUGGGCCGAAGUGGAGAAGGGUUCCACGUGAACAGCAGUUGGACGUGGGUUAGUCGGUCCUAAGCGGUUGCCUAACGGCUAUUUCAACGCUGGCUUUGCCAGAGUUCCGCGAAAGGGAAUCAGGUUAAUAUUCCUGAACCGGGCGUCGGAGACGCGGUCCUCGACGCGAGAAGAGGGCCGCUCAGCGGUAACGCAAGCAAUAUCGGAGACGCUGAUGACUGUGGCGGAGAGAAUUAUCUUUUCUGUAUAACAAGCAAACACCUUGGAAUUGAGUCGCUCAGAGAUAAGGUGCAACGCUUGGAAGAACACCGCAACUAUUGUGGUGUCCGCACUGCAGGAAUCAGCCCUUGAAAAUCCGAUGGAGUGGUUGAAUUUCGCGCCUGUCCGUACCGAAUCCGCAUCAGGUCUCCAAGGUGUGCAGCCUCUGGCACUGGAACAAUGUAUGUAAGGGAAGUCGGCAAAAUAGAUCCGUAACUUUGGGAAAAGGAUUGGCUCUAAGGGCCGGGCCAAUCGAGCUAGCAUUGCCUAGACUAGUGGGGUCGUUGAUCGGGGCUGUUUCGGCAGCCAAGUGAAGCACACGCUGGUCAUGGAGUGUCUGCGUGGGGGUCCUCGGGCCUCCUUUGCGAGUGGCAAGCAUCGGUCAGCUUAGAACUGUUACUGACAUGGGGAAUCCGACUGUUUAAUUAAAACAAAGCAUUGCGAUGGCCUUAACAGGUGUUGACGCAAUGUGAUUUCUGCCCAGUGCUCUGAAUGUCAAAGUGCGGAGACGCAACCAAGCGCGGGUAAACGGCUGGGGUAACUAUGACUCUCUUAAGGUAGCCAAAUGCCUCGUCAUCUAAUUAGUGACGCGCAUGAAUGGAUCAACGAGAUUCCUACUGUCCCUACAUACCAUCCAGCGAAACCACAGUCAAGGGAACGGGCUUGACUGAGCCAGCGGGGAAAGAAGACCCUGUUGAGCUUGACUCUAGUUUGAUGUUGUGAGAAGACAUGAGGGGUGUAGCAUAAGUGGGAGGCAGUCCUCGGGCUGUCGACGGUGAAAUACCACUACCCUCAUAGUUUUCACACUAAGUCGGUGGCACGGGAGAUGCUCGCCAACGGCGGGCGGAUUCGCGGCUAUAAGGCAGACUGAUCUGCUGACCCAUCGCCGAUGACAUAAAUCAGAUG